rnacentral:rRNA from 1 species
GAUGAACGCUGGCGGCGUGCCUAAUGCAUGCAAGUCGAGCGAACAGACGAGGAGCUUGCUCCUCUGACGUUAGCGGCGGACGGGUGAGUAGCACGUGGAUAACCUACCUAUAAGACUGGGAUAACUUCGGGAAACCGGAGCUAAUACCGGAUAAUAUAUUGAACCGCAUGGUUCAAUAGUGAAAGACGGUUUUGCUGUCACUUAUAGAUGGAUCCGCGCCGCAUUAGCUAGUUGGUAAGGUAACGGCUUACCAAGGCAACGAUGCGUAGCCGACCUGAGAGGGUGAUCGGCCACACUGGAACUGAGACACGGUCCAGACUCCUACGGGAGGCAGCAGUAGGGAAUCUUCCGCAAUGGGCGAAAGCCUGACGGAGCAACGCCGCGUGAGUGAUGAAGGUCUUCGGAUCGUAAAACUCUGUUAUUAGGGAAGAACAAAUGUGUAAGUAACUAUGCACGUCUUGACGGUACCUAAUCAGAAAGCCACGGCUAACUACGUG